CAGGCCUAACACAUGCAAGUCGAACGAGAUCUUCGGAUCUAGUGGCGCACGGGUGCGUAACGCGUGGGAAUCCGCCCUGGGGUACGGAAUAACUCACCGAAAGGUGUGCUAAUACCGUAUGAUGACGUAAGUCCAAAGAUUUAUCGCCCUGGGAUGAGCCCGCGUUGGAUUAGCUAGUUGGUGGGGUAAAGGCCUACCAAGGCGACGAUCCAUAGCUGGUCUGAGAGGAUGAUCAGCCACACUGGGACUGAGACACGGCCCAGACUCCUACGGGAGGCAGCAGUGGGGAAUAUUGGACAAUGGGCGAAAGCCUGAUCCAGCAAUGCCGCGUGAGUGAUGAAGGCCUUCGGGUUGUAAAGCUCUUUUACCCGGGAUGAUAAUGACAGUAUCGGGAGAAUAAGCUCCGGCUAACUCCGUGCCAGCAGCCGCGGUAAU
rnacentral:rRNA from 1 species